GCAUUGGUGGUUCAGUGGUAGAAUUCUUGCCUGUCACGCAGGAGACCUGGGUUCCAUUCUUGGCUAAUGCA
rnacentral:tRNA from 1 species